rnacentral:rRNA from 1 species
AACGAACGCUGGCGGCAUGCCUAACACAUGCAAGUCGAACGAGACCUUCGUGCCUUGUUGCGCUCGUGUGCUUAACGCGGGGGAACUUGCCCUUAGGUUCGGAACAACUCCCUUAAAGGUGUCCUAAUACCGGUUAAGGUAUUCCGACCUAAGAUUUCUUGCCUUUGGCUGGGCCCGCGUUAGUUUAGCUGGUUGGUAGGGUAAAAGCAUAUCAAGGCGACGAUCCAUAGCUGGUCUGUUAGCAUGAUCAGCUACAAUGGCACUGCGACACGGCCCAGACUCCUACGGAAGAGAGGAGUAGAGUGUAUUAGGCGCGGAGCGCGAGCCUGAUCACGCAGUGCCGCGUGUGUGAUCAAGGCCUUAGGGUUGUAAAUCUCUUUUACCCGGAGUGAUAAUGACAGUAACGGGAGAAUAAGCACCGGCUAACUACGUG